CAGCAGCCGCGGGAAAACAGAGGGUGCGAGCGUUAAUCGGAUUUACUGGGCGUAAAGCGUGCGUAGGCGGCUAAUUGAGUCGGAUGUGAAAUCCCCGAGCUUAACUUGGGAAUUGCAUUCGAUACUGGUUAGCUAGAGUGUGGGAGAGGAUGGUAGAAUUCCAGGUGUAGCGGUGAAAUGCGUAGAGAUCUGGAGGAAUACCGAUGGCGAAGGCAGCCAUCUGGCCUAACACUGACGCUGAGGUACGAAAGCAUGGGGAGCAAACAGGAUUAGAGACCCCUGUAGUCCCUGUCUCUUAUAC
rnacentral:rRNA from 1 species